CAGCCGCCGCGGUAAUACCGGCGGCCCGAGUGGCGGCCACUAUUAUUGGGCUUAAAGCGUCCGUAGCCGGGUUGGUUAGUCUCCCGGGAAAUCUGGCCGCUUAACGGUCAGAAUUCCGGGAGAUACUGCCAGCCUAGGGACCGGGAGAGGCCGAGGGUAUUCCCGGAGUAGGGGUGAAAUCCUAUAAUCCCGGGAGGACCACCUGUGGCGAAGGCGCUCGGCUGGAACGGGUCCGACGGUGAGGGACGAAGGCCAGGGGAGCAAACCGGAUUAGAUACCCAGGUAGUCCUGGCGGUAAACGAUGCGGACUUUGUGUCGGACAAGCUAUGAGCUUGUCCGGUGCCGGAGAGAAACCGUUAAGUCCGCCGCCUGGGGAGUACGGCCUCAAGGCUGAAACUUAAAGGAAUUGGCGGG
rnacentral:rRNA from 1 species